GGGUUCUUAUUUCAGUCGGUUAGAAAACUUGGCUCGUAACCGAGCAGUCCCGGGGUUGAGCCCCAGAGAAUCCA
rnacentral:tRNA from 1 species